GAUGAACGCUGGCGGCGUGCCUAAUACAUGCAAGUCGAGCGAACAGACGAGGAGCUUGCUCCUCUGACGUUAGCGGCGGACGGGUGAGUAACACGUGGAUAACCUACCUAUAAGACUGGGAUAACUUCGGGAAACCGGAGCUAAUACCGGAUAAUAUAUUGAACCGCAUGGUUCAAUAGUGAAAGACGGUUUUGCUGUCACUUAUAGAUGGAUCCGCGCCGGAUUAGCUAGUUGGUAAGGUAACGGCUUACCAAGGCAACGAUGCGUAGCCGACCUGAGAGGGGUAGCGGCCACACUGGAAACUGAGCCAGGGCCAGGCUCCUAAGGGAGGGAGCAGUAGGGAAUCUUCCGCAAUUGGCGAAAACCUGGCGCAACAACGCCGGGUGGGUGAUGGAGGUCUUCGGAUCGUAAAACUCUGUUAUUAGGGAAGAACAAAUGUGUAAGUAACUAUGCACGUCUUGACGGUACCUAAUCAGAAAGCCACGGCUAACUACGUUC
rnacentral:rRNA from 1 species